rnacentral:misc_RNA from 1 species
GAAAUGCGAUAAGUAAUGUGAAUUGCAGAAUUCCGUGAAUCAUCGAAUCUUUGAACGCAUAUUGCGCCCUCUGGUAUUCCGGGGGGCAUGCCUGUCCGAGCGUCAUUGCGAACCCCUCAAGCACGGCUUGUGUGAUGGGCCCUCCCGCGUCUUGGUCGUCAAGACGGGCCCGAAAUGCAGUGGCGGCUUCGCGGUUAUCCGAUCAGCCAGAGCGUAUGGGGACUUUCUCUCUGUCACACGCCCGCGGCGCGGACCGACGCCUGUCGACCUUUAUUCAUCUUUUUCUCGGUUGACCUCGGAUCAGGUAGGGAUACCCGCUGAACUUAAGC